rnacentral:rRNA from 1 species
AGCGAACGCUGGCGGCAGGCUUAACACAUGCAAGUCGAGCGGGCCCUUCGGGGUCAGCGGCAGACGGGUGAGUAACGCGUGGGAACGUGCCCUUCGGUUCGGAAUAACUCAGGGAAACUUGAGCUAAUAUCGGAUACGCCCUUUUGGGGAAAGGUUUACUGCCGAAGGAUCGGCCCGCGUCUGAUUAGCUAGUUGGUGAGGUUACGGCUCACCAAGGCGACGAUCAGUAGCUGGUCUGAGAGGAUGAUCAGCCACACUGGGACUGAGACACGGCCCAGACUCCUACGGGAGGCAGCAGUGGGGAAUAUUGGACAAUGGGGGCAACCCUGAUCCAGCCAUGCCGCGUGAGUGAUGACGGCCUUAGGGUUGUAAAGCUCUUUUCUUCGGGACGAUAAUGACGGUACCGGAGGAAUAAGCCCCGGCUAACUUCGUG